CCACAGGGUCGCAAACAGUCAGUUCUGGAGGCCUUAAGUCUGAAAGCAGGGCAUGGCCACAGUUGGUUCCUUCUGGAGGUUCUGAGGGAGUCAGUUCCUGCCUUCUGGUGAUUGCCAGCCGUCCUUGGUGUUCCUUGGCACACAGGUGGAGGGGAUUUAUUGUAAUCAGGUGGCCAUCAUCUUAGAGCUACAGAGAUGUUAUCCUCAGCAUUCAUGAGGAAGUGUGCAUAAGAUGUAGAAUGGAUUUUCUUUCAAUUAGUGGAAUCAUAUAAUCUCAUGAUACGACCUUAAAGAUCAUCUGGUUAUUAACUCUUAAUUGAAGAUGUCUGUAUCACAAUAUAUCAUACAUUCUGUCCCUACCUCAAGGACAUGAUUUUUCUUUCUUGACAAAUUCUACCAAUUGACACUGUGUGUGCACUAAAUCACUUCA